CAGGGAAUAGUUUAAGUAGAACUUCAGCUUUGGGUGUUGAUAGUGGG
rnacentral:tRNA from 1 species